rnacentral:lncRNA from 1 species
AGUCCGUGGAUCCAAUUUUGAAUUUUGUCCUCUCGAGUCGACUCGACUGUCCUGGGAGUCGACUCGACUGUCCUGGGAGUCGACUCGAAUCUCAGAGCCCGAACUCCUGAUCCUCUGUCUUUUGGCUCGUCCAGUCUUGGAGUCGACUCGAACUUCCUUGGAGUCGACUCGGCUCUCAGUUUGCGAAACACAGCCUUCUGCCAUCUUGGUGUAGCGCUGCCUUGGAGUCGACUCGAGCUGUCUGGGAGUCGACUCGAAUCUCAGAGGCAGUAACUUGGUUUUCUGUCUGUUGAUGGUCGCGGAGUCUCGGAGUCGACUCGUGCAAUGCGGAAGUCGAUUCGAAUCUCAGAGUCCCAAAAAUGCUCUCUGACUUUUUCCUUGUGCUCCGCUGAGAGUCGACUCUUGCUUUCUUUGGAGUCGACCUACCAACCAUCGGAGUCGACUCGCGUUCCACUGGAGUCGACUCGA